rnacentral:rRNA from 1 species
GUUUGAUUAUGGCUCAGAUUGAACGCUGGCGGCACGCUUAACACAUGCAAGUCGAACGGCAGCAUGAAUUAACUUCGGUUGAUUUGAUGGCGAGUGGCGAACGGGUGAGUAACGCGUAGGAAUAUGCCUUAAAGAGGGGGAUAACUCGGGGAAACUCGAGCUAAUACCGCGUAAGCUCUACGGAGUAAAGCAUGGGACCUUCGGGCCAUGCGCUUUAAGAAUAGCCUGCGUCCGAUUAGCUAGUUGGUGGGGUAAAGGCCUACCAAGGCGAUGAUCGGUAGCUGGUCUGAGAGGAUGGACAGCCACACUGGGACUGAGACACGGCCCAGACUCCUACGGGAGGCAGCAGUGGGGAAUAUUGGACAAUGGGGGCAACCCUGAUCCAGCGAUGCCGCGUGUGUGAAGAAGGCCCGAGGGUUGUAAAGCACUUUUAGUGGGGAGGAAAAGGUACAGGUUAAGAGCUAGUAUCUGUGACGUUACCCACCAUAAACAGCACCGGCUAACUCCGUGC